AUUUUCACUGUAAUAGAAAAAAUGGGUGUGUUUGGUUCAUGCGUUUACACACUAGGAAUGAUAAUCAAAUCAUAGUUAGUGUUCGGUUGACAACUUUUUAAACCA